rnacentral:miRNA from 1 species
GAAAAGUUCGGUCGGGUUUUU